CAUGUACGCUUAAUAAAUGGGGUCCGCGAUUUCUCUUUUUAACUUAGGCAGCAUCGGGUGCAUGUCGCAAUCGAAGCGCAGUAUGAAUGUACUACUACAUAUAUAUUUAUGUAUAUGUGUGUAUACUUAUGUAAUUACCCAGUGGACCAAAAAGCGAUAGUAAAACGGAACUAUCAUAAAAUGUCCGGAAACGGACUUAGAAAUGAUAAAAAUCCGGGAGCGAUGAGUGAAGUCUCGCAAAAUGCUCGCAGACGGACUUAGAAAAGAGCAUUUACCGGACAAAAACCGAGUGACGACAAAGUCUCGCAAAACUAUCACAAACGGACUUAAAAACGGGUGAAAAAUGGACAGAAAAGUGAAACAUAACGGAAAAAGUAGCUAGGUACGGGUGAAGUCUCACAAAAUGCUCGCAGACGGACUCAGAAAAGAGCAUUUACCGGGCGAAAACCGUGCGACGACCAAAGUCUCGCAAAACUAUCACAAACGGACUUAAAAACGGGCACAAUACGCAAGAAACGCCGCAUCACGUAAUAGAACAUGAACGAACAUGUCAAACUGCGGCCCGGCACAACGCCGCCGUUUUUUCGUUUUGUGUUAUUUUGUGAUUAAAAACCGCAGCAGAAGGACGUAAACGGGGAGUUAAAUCAUAAAAAUAGUGAAAAAAAGGAAAAAUCGCCAUCUUCUUGUGCAUCAGGCGACCUGCGUCAACGAAUAUGUACAUAUAACAAUUUUCGCUGGAACUGACUUUGCGCACCAUUUUUGGUGUUACUUGCGGGUUACUCUAGCCAUCCGUACGGGAUUUAAGGAAAGAUUUUCGUUAGAAGACGCCGAUUUCGACCGAAUCACGCAAACAUUUUUCCAGUACGCCCAGGACAGAGUGUCGAAGGAGAAAAAACAAAUUAAAUUUAAUUCACUAAUAUAAUUGUUUAAUCUAUUUAUGUACAACCAAAAUUAAAAAUUAAAAUUAAUUAAAAUAAAAUUAAAAAUUAUAAAAAACAAAAAAAAAUUGUGCGUCCCUUUUCAUAUUACUUUCGGCUCGCAAAAGAUAUCAUAAACGGCUCGCAAAAGGCCCGC